UCCGCCAGUCUGAUCUCUCUCUCGCUCGGCUAGUAUGGCCGUGCGUGACGGUCUAGACGUGUUGCGUAUGGGGCUCCUUGCUCUUAGUAGUUGUGUUUAGCUUCGUGCCGUCGACGCGUUUAAUUAAUCGAAUCGUGAGCCAGACGAAAAUUGUGCGACGCCAUGGAGCGCGCGUCGGAGGCGCUCAGCGUCGACGACGUCUACAGCCUUGCCGAGGAGAUCGGGAAAGAGUUCGAAAUCCUCAUUGACAACUACGGCGUCGAGCCCGUGAACAAGCUGGUCACUAAAGUGAUUCGCGUGUUGGAGUACCUCGAAGCGUACGCCACCAAGAAUGACAUCGCCCGCAACGAGAUCGCCGAGCUCAGGGCCCAGAUCUACCAGCUCGAGCAUGACAAGUACGAGAAGGCGGAGUCGAGAAGCAAGCUCGAAAAGGAGAUGGAGCAGUAUGAAGACAUCUGGCGGCAAGAAAUGAAAGAUCUGGGUGUCCUUGUGGCACGGCUACAGGAGGAAAACUCCAAACUGAGCAGUUCCCUCAAAGAGAGAGAAAGUCACCCGUCCUUGCAGUGCGAACCACACAGUGUGACGCUAGGGGAGGACAUUGUCGUCCUUGAACGGCUCCGGGAUGCCUUCGACAAGCAGGGAGCCCAACUGAGACAUAAUGAAAAGGACAUGGCUAAGAAAGCUGCCGACAUAGAAUCUCUUCAGCAGCAGCUGGAAGCCAGUAAGAAGGCAGCCCAAGAGCAGAGCCGACGCAACCGGCGGCUGCAGCAGCAGAUGCGACAGUUGUGCGAGGAGCGCGGUGACCUGCAAGUGCAGCUGCAGGACCAGCAGAGCCAGCUCCAGACCUUGCAGGAGCGACUAGGCAUUGCCGUCAAGGACCACGACGACAUUCUCCAGUCCAGGGACGCUGCCUUGGAUAUGCAAGGAAAAGUGGUGAUUGACUUGGACGACCCGAACCGACCACGCUUCACGCUGGAGGAGCUCAAGCACAUCUUGUUUGAGAGGAACGAGCUCAAGGCUCGAGUUAGUGAUCUCGAAGACGAGCUGGCUCUGUACAGGCCAAGGUGGUGGGCUCAUGAGGCAACCUCGCUUCUGACCAGGCCGGUUGACCCACCAUCGCCGGUCAGGGACGAAGACCGGCCCGUCCAGGGACCCAUCAACCAGGAGCCUGAGGAGAAGCUUUUUUCUUACGGAAAGGCCUCCGGCAUUCGCAAAUUGUUCCGGGUCAUUAAUAAAAUUAGAGGAUGAGUUUGCUGCCGUAUCUUGGACCUUGAAGGAAGGCAGCUCGCAGCAGUCAUCCCCCCCUUGACUGUUUUCCAAGUGUCCUGUGGCCUCGCGUCAAGCCGGGAUGAGAGGCCUCGUCUGCUGUCUCCUGCGGGGCCUGCUCUCUCACGGUGGCCUCUCGAUGGAGUUCUUUGUCGACAUCGCACCAUUCUUCGAACUGCACACGGCCUUGUCUCCGGAUUCCAGAGUGCUGCAGUGAAGCCAUGCUUUCGUUGCUUGGAAGUGCAGCAAGGAUGGAAAGUGAUGCGCGCACCCCACCUCUCCAGGGGACGUGUGUCAUUGCCACUGCAGCCCAGUGGCAUUGUGUGUGUGUGUAUUAUCUUGUGGACGUGCCAAGCUAGGAAAGCGGCAGCUUGCAGAGGUGACAGCGAGUCCUCAAAUUGAAUUAAAAUGUCACGAUUAGUGGGCAGGGCCAAAUGUGGCUUCACUGUUUUA
rnacentral:misc_RNA from 1 species